GUUCAUUCCAAAUGAACGUAUAAAUUGGAACAAUACAGAGAAGAUUAGCAUGGCUACUGCGCAAGGAUGACACGCAAAUUCGUGAAGCGUUCCCAAAUUUU
rnacentral:snRNA from 1 species